rnacentral:rRNA from 1 species
UACAGAGGGUGCGAGCGUUAAUCGGAAUUACUGGGCGUAAAGCGUGCGUAGACGGCUAUCUAAGUCGGGUGUGAAAGCCCCGGGCUCAACCUGGGAAUUGCAUUCGAGACUGAAUAGCUAGGGUACGGUAGAGGGAAGCGGAAUUUCCGGUGUAGCGGUGAAAUGCGUAGAUAUCGGAAGGAACAUCAGUGGCGAAAGCGGCUUCCUGGACCA